rnacentral:rRNA from 1 species
GACGAACGCUGGCGGCGUGCUUAACACAUGCAAGUCGAACGGAAAGGCCCUGCUUUUGUGGGGUGCUCGAGUGGCGAACGGGUGAGUAACACGUGAGUAACCUGCCCUUGACUUUGGGAUAACUUCAGGAAACUGGGGCUAAUACCGGAUAGGAGCUCCUGCUGCAUGGUGGGGGUUGGAAGGUUUCGGCGGUUGGGGAUGGACUCGCGGCUUAUCAGCUUGUUGGUGGGGUGGUGGCUUACCAAGGCUUUGACGGGUAGCCGGCCUGAGAGGGUGACCGGCCACAUUGGGACUGAGAUGCGGCCCAGACUCCUACGGGAGGCAGAAGUGGGGAAUAUUGCACAAUGGGCGGAAGCCUGAUGCAGCAACGCCGCGUGCGGGAUGACGGCCUUCGGGUUGUAAACCGCUUUCGCCUGUGACGAAGCGUGAGUGACGGUAAUGGGUAAAGAAGCACCGGCUAACUACGUG